UUUAGCAAAAAGCACAACUGAUAAGAGCAAGGUUAUUUUUAUUUUUAUUAUCUAUUUUAUCAACUUGUCUUUUAAUGAGUAAAGAAUGUUUUUAUUUAAUGAAAAGUCUGAAGACAAAGAACACCGGCAGUCUGCUGUCUUUAGUAAAACAGAAGAGUCUUUUCUGUGGAUGCUUUUGUCAAAAGAGGAUAAAUAAAAUUACAUUACAAAAUGGGGGAAAAACUCUGCAACAUGUGGAUUUAAUUGUCCAGCAUGGCAUUGGACAGAUUUGCAAGAAAAUCUUAAUUUUUGAAAAAAUAAUAAAUAAACAUCUGCUUAGGGAGGAAGACUGAAGGUGAGAACCAAGUCAUCUGUGGACUUUUAUGUUUGAAGUGGAAACAUGGGGUGGAGAAGAGAAGGACGAGGUGGACUUGAUGGAUCCUCAAGUCCCACUAGGAGUGGUCCUUGCUGCUCACACCUCCGGAUUAAAGCAGUGCUACAGGAGUGGGGAGAUGUGAUGGGGUCCACACCUCGGAAGCGAUGGCAGGAUGUUACCAUGGAAACAAGGGGAAACCAUGGGGGGUACACACGACAGCGGAGAGCAACGAGGAGGUGCAGCAAGUCAGUUGGGAGGCAAAGAUAUUUAACUGGAAGGAACCACGGUAGUCCGCAAAAAGAGCCCAUCGACCCAAGGAGCUUCCCACCCUGGACCAUAUUGACACUUCAGCAUCCUGGCAUCCUCUCCAGGCUUCUUACACAGAGACCUGGCAUCCUACGGAGCAUGUGCAAUACAGACCCCCAAAGCCCCUGUCCUUCCUGGCAGACACAAGCUUGGAGCUGGACUUGCAGAUGGCAGCAGGAGCGUUGGCUAUAUUUUUAUACCACAUGUCUUCACAGCAGCAACCAUUAUCCUGUUUGAAUUUGUUUGUUUGAUUUUUUUUUUUCUGCUGACCUGAACUCACACUGAAUUUGUAAGAGCUCUGUAGUAAACAUGAAAUCUAUAACAAAGAACCUUUUGUAAAUUCAACAAUGGACAGUUGCAAGUGAACACCAUCAAAGGCGUCCUCUGUACUUCCUGCACUGUUCUGUGCUCUCUUCCUGUGUGGGUACUUCUUCCUAAGAUAUUGUCGGCCACGAAACAAGCAGACAUGCAAUGAAUGGGAUAUUGCAUGUGACAACGUUGUGAGAGAAAGCUCAGCAGAAUGGAGAGCAGCGAUCCUAUCUGACAGACUUCUUCAUUUUGGGUGAUGUGCCAGUGACUGCAUCUAUCGUUAUUUUAGCGGAACAAUUAGGACAGGUGAUAUUCCCAGUAGAAAUAGCAGGGGACAGUCACUGAAAAGUACAGAAUUGUGCUAAUGACCUGAAACUAUUUGGUAGCGGGACAAAAAAAGACUUGACAUUGUCUUGAAAUAUUUUAUUUCUCUGAGUUUCUUGAAGGUUCCCUGCAGAAAGGGAUACUCAGUUCUGCCAUUAUGAAAAGGACAACUUCAUACAGAGCAGCUGACAUCAGUGUGGUCUUGUUCCUGUGGAAACCGGUGUGGACUCACCUGGACAGCCUAAUUCUGUGCAAUACGGACGUCAGCAGAUGACACGGCUUCCCAUUGAUUGGAAAAGGUUGUGACUCCAAGUUUGAUGGCUAAAUGUCACUAGCUUGUUGUGGUGCCCUCCAGCUCUGUGCCUAGCCAUCAGCAUUCAAUAUGUACAGUGCAACAUGGCCACGUCUUUGGGUUCGUCGCCAUGUUACAUAUGACUCAGAGAGGAAAACGGCUCUGGCAGGCAUGCCGGAGGACCUGGCCACUCCUAAGCUCAAAACAGUCUCUAGGGACCGUCUGUGAAUGUUCUGCUCUCUUUUCCAUCUGAGGUUGGGGUGGACGGUCGGAGUUCACACGUUUUAAAUGUGAAGCGGGUACACUUAAAAAAUAGGCAUGCCAAUGUAAAAAGGACAAUGCUUGCAUUGGACUUAUAUCUGAGAAACGUGUCACCAAAUCAGUAGUUGUUCAUAAAACCUGCCACCCUCAGCUUGUACUCUCAGGCCAUAAAUUUCUGCCUCUGGACUUCCAGUGACUCCAGUGGACGAAUCAGGAAGAGGGUAAUUGCCAUGUAGGUGAUGUGGUUAACCUUGGGAAGGAUCCGUUUUCGGAGUUUUUGUUUUGUUGUUUGCUCUUUCAGGUGAUGCCAAUGUGAUCUUUUCCUGUACCUUCCAUUGUUUCUAGACCUCAGUUGGUACUCAGGCAUUCUCACCUUGUAUCUAACAGCACCAAAUUUGUUUUUCAAUUGUCCACAUUUGUUUAAUGUCGAUGUACAAAUGUGCUCGCUAUUUGUCCCAGUGCUAAGGAAAUUUUUUUUUCUGUGUAUAUUUGUCUGAAUAUGAAGUGGGAGAAGAACUAGAGUCCAGAAAAAAAGGUUGAGAACACUUCAAAAGGCUUUUUGUUACAGAUGUGCAUAGUUUCAUUGUUUUCUACUUUUUAUGUUUUGGGAGGGGUUAUUUGGAUCCUUUGUGACACAAAACAAUUAAUUAAUUCAGUUCCUGAUCAUGACUUCCAGUACCUAUAAAUUGGUGUAUUUGUGUGUUAUAAUAUUAUGUUCAGGUUAAUGUUUUAAUUAGGUUAUUUUAUCAGUGCACAUCUUUCCAUAUUUCUUUGGAUGCCUGAUGAAACUUAAUCCUAAACAUUGCUCCAUCUUACAUUUCUUUGUACUCACUCUUAAAAUUGACGACCGACAGGUCAAAGCAUAGGCACGUACCAAAAUUGGCACAUCUGCUACUCUUUGAAUUUAAUCAAAAAAACAGUUGGGAUUUUUAAAGAGAAUAAUUUUGCAUAAAUUGAAUAGUUUAACAGUACAUAAAGAGAAAAGAGUUUAAUAUUGCCACUCUUGAGUAAAUGUCAGGAUGAUGAGUUUAACUCAGGUUGAACUGACUGCUCGAUUCCCACCUGUAUGCAGCCAUUUAAGGUUUAAAAAAGGGUGCAACACCUGCAAACUUUGCAAACGAUAGAUUUAAUUUCAACUUGCGCUUAAAUCUGUUGUUUACCAAGUUCGUGAGUGCUGCCCUCGUUUUAUUUGAAACGAUUACGCAGGUAGAGUAAACCAAUCUUUCUGGUUUGGUCUAUAUAGCUCUUUUCUUCAGUCAGUAUUGUUUACUACACUGGAUAAUUCUAUUCUUCCUUUUUAUUUCCCUAUAUGUUGCAGGGAUCAUUUGUAUCAGGUGAAGUUGUAAAAAACUUGAGAAAACAUUAGACUACUAUGUGAAGCAUAUUGAAUAUGGUAACUAUAGCCCAAUGUUCUUAUUUUGUACAGAUUACAAUAUUGAUAGUCGAACAAGUAUGGAAACAUGUGGUCAUGGUUAUGUUUUUCAAGAACAUUGAAGUGGUUUCAGGUGUCAGACGAUGAUUCAGAGUAAAGGCUGCCUGGAUACUUGCGCAAGCCAUGGUUCAUUCUUUCGUUAUUUUAACUGUCAGAUUUGUCGGUUUUGGUGCUGGUUCUCUCAGGUUCAUACUGAGUGUCUGAAGUGUGUAAUGAGCAUGCAGCUCCCCCCCUUUAUUGAAGCUGGUGAGGAUGCAGCUGAUAACCACCAGCACACACGUCUAUAAGUAUGAGCUGGUUUUUUGGCAAGCGUCAUUGAAGCUUAGUAUUUCUGCCUGGCAUAUACUUUUCCACAUAAACAGUUUCUGCUGUGAGAUUUAAAUGUGUCAUAACAACUUUCGGUAGGUGAAGGAAUUGUUGUUUGUUUGUUUGUUUUUUUUGCUGUUGUUUGAUUUGUCGUUUGUUUCAUGGACUUAUUUGUCGUGGAAUCUAGUUCUGAUACUCUUGCCUUUUUCAAAUCCAUCAUUAUGAAUUUGGUGGGACAUAUUUUGUUAUAUUCUCUAAUUCUGUAUUCACCUUCUAUAUUCUGUCUUCAUGUUAGCCCAAGAUGGGUUAGUCAGCCAGCUGAUGUGUUGCACGGAUCAAGGUUAAUUUUUGGUGUACUAAGUGAAAGCCAUAUCAGGUCAUGGAAGGCACUUGAUUAUAAGAUCUUGAUAAGAUCUGGUGGUCCCCCAAGCCUGUAUUCAUACAGAGGUGCUGUAAAACAACAACACCUUGGGUUGUCACCUGGUCUGCCAUGACUUAUGCGAAAGUUAGCAGCUCCUCACACCACUAAUGGGUGCAGUAGUUAAGCAAAAAUGUACUCUUUCUGCUACUGCUUUCUGUAUACAUGUGCUGAAGAGUGGGCUUUGUAGUGCACAGGGCUUUGGCACAAAGAGGUCCCAUUUGUGAAUGGAAAGCAUAGACCCAGAACUCUAAAAUGAUUAGCUUGCCUAAAUUUGGCCAGUAUUUUAGUUCAUGUAGGUAUAUGUCUCAUGAUCUUGUUCCGUGAAAAAUAACUCCUCCAAUUUGCGAGCACUUUCCUCAGUACAAAUGCUCCCAUUGCAGUGACCAUUUGACUGUUGUUCUGCAACGUUUCAGUGAGACCAAAAUCGCUACUUGACAUGAACUAAUGAGACCUCGCACAUCAUAAUCUGAAUUGGCAUAAUUUCCCCUGUAUUGGCAGAUGGAUUGGAGGGCUUUUCGGCACUGAGAGUUAAUUGUGACCCUGUCUUGAAAUUUCCUAUGGAUUUUGGUAAAAUUUGAUCAGCCCCAGGACAUAUCAGCUCCAGGUGCAAGAGCCACUGUUGAUACAGUGGAUUCUAAGCACAGCAGUGUAUUUCUUUAUCGCACUACUAAACUGAAAUUUAACGCUGCUGUUCUGGUUGCGCUUCACAGGAAGUAGUCAUGCUCCACUGCUUAGGGGUGUGGCAGUAACUGUUUGUUUAUCUUACACUCUGUUUGUAGUAGAAGACAGUAAUGAGAGCAGGGUGCAGAGGAAGGGUGGAAUAAGCACAGCAAUUGUUGACAGUAUUGUUUAGCAUUGGCUCGUCUGCAUUGCCUUUGGCUACUGGGCAGCAACUGGAGAGAGGGAUGAAGGACAAGUGCAGUUAUGCCCUCUUGUCACUUUCAAUCCCGACUGUGAUCCAUGCAUGUAAUGGCAACAGAGUGUAAGUUGUUGGCCAACAGCAUGUUUGUGGUUUGUGUUUUUUUUUUUUUUUUUGGCGGAAGGCACAACUUGAAGGUUGUAGGGGAGUGUUGCUGCUGAGCAAUGUGGAUUUUCCAGGAAGAUGUUCAUUUGUGACAUUAUCGCUACCUUACAUAUGUCUCUCACACAAAGUGGUGCUCAGCAAGCUUUCUUAGUCCAUGUGAGAUCUGCUCCCUCAGUUCUUUUCCUUGUGCGUAAAGAAUGUCUCACCAUAUCGUUCGUGCGUACGAUCAAAUACCGAAGCAGCUUUCCGGCCAGAUCGAUGAUCAGAAUUCAGGCACUUUAAUGGAGCAACUGAAUGGAGCUCACUCUCUCUUAGACACUCUCGCAGUUUGUCUCCGAUUCUCUCUCUUUCUCUCUCUCUCUCUUUCUCUCUCUCUGUCGCUCUCUCUCGCUCUCUCUCUCUUACACAAACACACACGCACACACACACGUACACAGCCACAGUUAACUCUCUUUUCAGGGACCAUUUUCUCCACAAUACAAGUUAAACAAACGCAGCAUAGCUUUUCACUACUGUAAUGCCUGACAUAUAACCUCACAUGUGAAUGAAACGCAAGCCCUUUCCGUUCUUGACAUUCAUGGGAGUUUCUGUUCGGAAGGCCCGCGGCAUUUAUCACGUCAGGCUCAGUAAAACUGCUGCACUCAAUCUCAUCAUGAGACCAUGACUGUGGAGAGAUACAAACAUCUGUGACUCAAAGCUCAGGAUAUGUCAACAGUGGCUUGAGCCGAAGGGUCUCCCAGUGAAAUGCCAGGUUUAUGAGUUCUGAACAAUGCCAUUGAACCUCAUGUAGAUUGGUUUGGUGCACUUCCCGAAGGACAUUUACUAACAAACAUAGGGUGUUGUCAUCAGGGAAUAUUUGUACAGUUAUCGUACCUCUUAAUGUCCACGAAGGCUGUAGACCCAUAUGUCCUCCACAUGCCUUUUUUGACUGAAGGAAAGCUGUGUUGAAAUGAAGCUGAGAUCAAACUGACUGUUGUAAACUAAUUUUAUUUUCAAAUGUAAAUAACCGAAAUGGCAAAAAAUAAAUGGAAGUCUUUGUAAGUUAAACUAUUUUUAUUGUAACAAAGGAAAUAAAGAAUGAGACU